AAACCAUUGAUGGCAAUUCCUAUUUUAAGCAAACCUUAGUGAGUGUAUUUAUAAUUUACCCAAAUUUUUUUAUAAUGCAAUUAUUUUUCUGCUCACCAGGUUGCUGCUACAAGUCUCAUUGCAAUUUGUGAGCGAAUUGGCCCAGAUUUAACGGCAUUGCAUGUUCUGCCAAAACUCAAAGAGCUAUUCGAUGAGCUUGCUUUCUCUCAAGAAACCAGCAUUACUUCUGGUUCUCUGGAGAGAAGCUUCAAGGUUACCAAACGAAAAGUAGAUGAGGAGGAUCCAAUUGAAAGCCAUAUGGACCUUGUGUUGCUUAUAUAUCCCCCCUUCACUUCUCUUCUUAGUAUAGAGAAACUUCGCCAGUGUUGUGCCACAUGGUUGCUUCUUGAGCAAUUCCUUCUACGGUGCCAUAACUGGAAGGCCUGAACUGUCAUGAUUCAGUGGGAAUAUACAAGGAAGUCCUCUUGAAGUGGUCCAGACUAUUGUUUCUAAAGGGCCUGUUUUUAGCAAGAGCUCAACAUCUUCUGAAUACAAUCCUGCUAAACUGUUGCUCAAUGGGGUUGGGUGGUCAAUAUUACAGUCACAAGGAAAUAGGAG